GUCAGCUGCUGGAAUUGUAACUCUCCUGGAAAAAUCCCUUGAGAAAUUUGGCUUGUCAAUGGAUCCAGUGACCGCAUUCAGUGCUGACAACACAAAUGUCAAUUAUGGUAUUCACAACUCUGUUUUCACUAACCUGAAGAAAAAACAAAACAAUCUGCUGCAAGGAAACUGCCAUGCCCACAUAGUGCACAACACUGUGAAGCACGCCCUUGACGAGCUCACUGUAGAUGUGGAGAAUGUUGUGCUGAAGGUUUAUGGCCACUUCUCCACAUCAGCUAAAAGAAGAGAGUCCCUCAAAGAGUUUUGUGAGUUUUGUGAUGUUCAAUUCAAGGAGAUCUUACGACAUGUGACAACCAGGUGGCUCUCCCUUAAUCCAGCAAUCCAUCGGUUUAUGCAGUCCUGGACUGCACUGAAGUCGUACUUCAUCAGUCUAGGAGAGGAGUGUCCCAAGCAAGUGCGGGUUAUCUUAAAGCUCUACAAAGACUCCACUGUGGAAGACGGAGACAUUGUGGAGGUUUACCUUCUCUUCUGCAACAAUAUACUCUCCCUCUUUGAGGAGGUAGUAAAGAGCCUGGAGGGCAAUGCAACCACCUGUGUUGAGCUGUAUUCCAUCAUGGCUGAAUUCAAGCAAAAGCUCAUACAGAGAUGAGACGACCAGUUCUAUGGGUACCUAACAAGGCAAAAGCUGCAGGGCCUCCUCCCAGAUGAAGCAAAAAUGGCAAGGGUCGAAUUCACUGCAUUUCUCAAUAAAGCCAUUUCAUAUGUUGAGAAAUGGUUUGAUUUCUCAGAAGAGAACUGGCUGUUUGCACUCCAACCUCUCUCUCUCCAACGUGGCACCCUGACCUUUGAUCAAAUGGAGAAGGUGGCUAAAAAAACUCAACCUCAUCAAUAAAUUGAAGAUGGAUGAGCUUUAUGAUGAGUGCACUACAGUCAGUAUCAUCCUGAAGAGGCUCAGGGAACAGAAUGCUGAAUUAAUGGAAGUCCAAGGGUGUUGCUGCGAGGUGGAUGACUGUGUUUGAAGAAGUUGAUCUUCCCAACAUGCUCUCUAUCAUGAGACGCAUCCCAGCAUCCACUGGAUACGUGGAAAGAAUCUUCUCCCGUAUGACCAACAUAUGGAGUGACGCUAGAAGCAGGUGUUCAGUGGAGCUCAUGAAGAGUGAGCUCCUCAUCACUUUAACUUUGAGCAGACCUGUUCGGAGUUCCACACUACAGUUCUCAAAGACAAGGAGCUGCUCAGUGCUGCAAGAAGUAACAAGAAGUACUCCUGGAAGAAGUGAGGUAGAGAGUGAACUGUUUAAACCUGGCCUAACCAAAAAAAGGACAAAAGGAGGGUCUGUUCAUCCCAACCCAGAGGAUCCUUCCAGUGUCAUGUGACUUCUACGAGCCGUUCAGAUUUGUGCAUUUUCGUUAUGUAAGCAAAAUGCAAACCACGCCUCGGUCUGCUCCGCUGCUGAAACCACGCCCACAACUAACUCCGCCGGCCGGAGCUUCAGCCAUUGUUCAGCAGCGGUGGCUGCUGAACAGCGAGGGACAGUAGAAAUGCGGUUUUGCAUCGACACUUACCCUCAUAAAAGGACCAGUUCCAACAGCACGGACCCGGCAACUGCACACGAGUCAGCGAUCUUCCGAGCAAUGCACCUGAAGCUGUUCAACGAUACCUUCAAAAGACGCACGGUCCUUCCUUGAGCCAGCAAUAGUGCAUACAUG